rnacentral:rRNA from 1 species
GAUGAACGCUGACAGAAUGCUUAACACAUGCAAGUCUUUGGCGAAGCUGUGCUUGCACAGCCUAGCCAAGGCGGACGGGUGAGUAACGCGUAAGGAACUUGCCCUGCAGUCAGGGAUAACAGACGGAAACGACUGAUAAGACCUGGUAAAGUCAGGCGGACUCAUGUCCAGCCUGAUGAAAAGAGAUGCUGCAGGAGGGCCUUGCGUCCUAUUAGCUUGUUGGUGGGGUAACGGCCCACCAAGGCGAUGAUAGGUAGCCGGCCUGAGAGGGUGGACGGCCACAAGGGGACUGAGAUACGGCCCUUACUCCUACGGGAGGCAGCAGUGGGGAAUAUUGGACAAUGGGGGCAACCCUGAUCCAGCAAUUCUGUGUGCACGAUGAAGGUUUUCGGAUUGUAAAGUGCUUUCAGCAGGGAAGAAAAAAUGACGGUACCUGCAGAAGAAGCGACGGCUAAAUACGUG